rnacentral:tRNA from 1 species
UCCUCGUUAGUAUAGUGGAUAGUAUCUCUGCCUACCAUGUGGAAGACUGGGGUUUGAUUCCUUGAUGAGGAG